rnacentral:rRNA from 1 species
GGACGAACGCUGGCGGCGCGCCUUACGCAUGCAAGUCGAACGGGUCGCUUUCGGGCGGCCAGUGGCGGACGGCUGAGUAACACGUAGGCAACCUGUCCCAAAGUGGGGGAUAACCUGCCGAAAGGCGGGCUAAUAUCGCAUGUGGCCUUAGGGUGAAAGCCCCUAAGAUCAAAGCCGCAAGGCGCUUUGGGAGGGACCUGCGGCCUAUCAGGUAGUUGGUGGGGUAAAGGCUCACCAAGCCUAUGACGGGUAGCUGGUCUGAGAGGACGACCAGCCAGAAGGGGACUGAGACACGGCCCCUACUCCUACGGGAGGCAGCAGCGAGGAAUCUUGGGCAAUGGGCGCAAGCCUGACCCAGCGACGCCGCGUGGGGGAAGAAGGCCUUCGGGUCGUAAACCCCUUUUGCCGGGGAAGAAGAUCUGACGGUACCCGGCGAAUAAGUCACGGCUAACUACGUGCCAGCAGCCGCGGUAAUACGUAGGUGGCUAGCGUUGUCCGGAUUUACUGGGCGUAAAGGGCGUGUAGGCGGCCUGCUAAGUCCCGUGUGAAAUCUCCCGGGCUUAACCGGGAGGGGUCACUGGAUACUGGCAGGCUAGAGGGAGGCAGAGGAAGGCGGAAUUCCCGGUGUAGCGGUGGAAUGCGUAGAUAUCGGGAGGAACACCAGUGGCGUAGGCGGCCUUCUGGGCCCACCCUGACGCUGAGGCGCGAAAGCGUGGGGAGCAAACCGGAUUAGAUACCCGGGUAGUCCACGCCCUAAACGGUGGAUGCUAGGUGUGGGGGGUGUCGACUCCCCCUGUGCCGUAGCUAACGCAUUAAGCAUCCCGCCUGGGGAGUACGGCCGCAAGGCUAAAACUCAAAGGAAUUGACGGGGGCCCGCACAGGCGGCGGAGCGUGUGGUUUAAUUCGAUGCAACGCGAAGAACCUUACCAGGGCUUGACAUGCCGGAUGUAGAAACCCGAAAGGGGGCCCACCUGUAAAACCAGGAGCCGGCACAGGUGCUGCAUGGCUGUCGUCAGCUCGUGCCGUGAGGUGUUGGGUUAAGUCCCGCAACGAGCGCAACCCCCGCGGUCAGUUAAAUCUCUCUGACAGAACCGCUGAGUCAACUCAGAGGAAGGUGGGGAUGACGUCAAGUCAGCAUGGCCCUUACACCCUGGGCUACACACACGCUACAAUGGGCGGUACAAAGGGUUGCCAAGGCGCAAGCCGGAGCUAAUCCCAGAAAGCCGUCCCCAGUUCAGAUUGCAGGCUGCAACUCGCCUGCAUGAAGGCGGAGUCGCUAGUAACCGCAGGUCAGCACACUGCGGUGAAUACGUUCCCGGGCCUUGUACACACC